UGGGGAAUAUUGCACAAUGGGCGCAAGCCUGAUGCAGCCAUGCCGCGUGUGUGAAGAAGGCCUUCGGGUUGUAAAGCACUUUCAGCGGGGAGGAAGGCGAUAAGGUUAAUAACCUUGUCGAUUGACGUUACCCGCAGAAGAAGCACCGGCUAACUCCGUGCCAGCAGUCGCGGUAAUACGGAGGGUGCAAGCGUUAAUCGGAAUUACUGGGCGUAAAGCGCACGCAGGCGGUCUGUCAAGUCGGAUGUGAAAUCCCCGGGCUCAACCUUGGAACUGCAUUCGAAACUGGCAGGCUAGAGUCUUGUAGAGGGGGGUAGAAUGCCAGGUGUAGCGGUGAAAUGCGUAGAGAUCUGGAGGAAUACCGGUGGCGAAGGCGGCCCCCUGGACAACGACUGACGCUCAGGUGCGACAGCGUGGCGAGCAAACAGG
rnacentral:rRNA from 1 species